rnacentral:rRNA from 1 species
GCAAGUCGAGCGGAUUUAUCCUUCGGGAUACGCUAGCGGCGAACGGGUGAGUAACACGUGGGUGACCUGCCUAGAACAUUGGGAUAACUAUGGGAAACUGUAGCUAAUACCGGAUAUGUGCUUUUCUCGCAUGAGAGAAGUAUGACAGAUUUAUCAAUCUGGGGUGUAUCCAUGGGCCUGCGGCUCGUUGGCUAGGUGGUGGGGUAACGGGGUACCAAGGGGACGACGACCAGCCGACCUGACAGGGUGCACUGGCACUGUGGGACUGACACACGUCCCACACUCCUACGGAAGGCAGAAUAAUGGAAUCUGCCGGAAUGGCCGAUGGUCUGACGGAGCAACGCCGCUGGAGUGAUGAAGGUUUUCGGACCGUUUAGCUCUGUUGCCCUAGACGAAGACGAAGCCUAGUAACUGCUCUUUGUGUAACUACAUGCCAGAAGAAAGCCCCGUAUAACUACGGGCCAGGAGGCCCGGAAAUACUGAGGGGAAAAACGUUGUACGGAAUUUGUCGCGGUAAUGGGGGCGCAGGCGGUCUCUUAUGCUGGGUGG